rnacentral:misc_RNA from 1 species
AAGUCGUAACAAGGUUUCCGUAGGUGAACCUGCGGAAGGAUCAUUACCGAGUAAAAAGCCGUAUGAAAAAAGACGGCUUUAUACACAUUUCAACCCUUGUGAACUUUCCUGUUGCUUUGGUGGGACAUCAAUUUUAGAAACUUUUCUGUUGUUUUUUUGGCUUACGUCAAAAUGAUGGAAAUGUUAUAAGUUGGCUUGAAAGGAUUUUGGUCUUUUCAGGAGUGCCCGCCAAAGGUUUUACAAAUGAUUCUUUAAUGUUGUUUUUUUUCUUAUAUAAAAAAUUUAAAUUUAAUAAAACUU